GUCAGGAUGGCCGAGCGGUCUAAGGCGCCAGACUCAAGCGGAAGCUUACUAGGAUAAAUCCUGGAGAUUGGAAUUCUGGUCUUCGAUAGAAGGCGUGGGUUCAAAUCCCACUUCUGACA
rfam:Daphnia pulex DAPPTscaffold_111_Cont4768, whole genome shotgun sequence.